rnacentral:lncRNA from 1 species
GUUGUAUGACUAGUCUUUUGAUCUGAGAUGGCACUAUUGCUCGUAGUGAAGCUGCUGGAGUUUGAUUGAUACAUCAAUAUGGAUCUCAAGAAGUCUUUAUAGUGGAUGUUAGCGAUAGUUGGUCCACUAUAGGAGUGGGGUGUGUAUCAAGAUGGGAUCUAUCGAUCCUAGUAAAAGAGAGUAGUCUUAUGAGAUUUAAGAGAGAAUUUUUAAGUCUAUGGCCAUAGCAGUGUGAUUGAUGAAAAAGUAUUUUUAUAGAAUCACAUAUAGACUC